rnacentral:lncRNA from 1 species
AAACAUUUGAAAUAGUGAACUCCAAUCUUGCCAAGCUUUUAUAUUAGAUUAAAACCAUUUUAUUGUUUUUAGUGAUAUUUACUCACAAGAUAACUUUCCAACCAAAACAACCUUGUUACUUUCUAAACUUACAACAUUUGGAUUAUAGAACGGCGGUAAUAUCAACCAAUCUCUGUGGAUACGAUAUAAAAAUAUUUGCCGAAGAUAUACUU